GAUGAACGCUGGCGGCGUGCCUAAUACAUGCGAGUCGAGCGAACGGACGAGAAGCUUGCUUCUCUGAUGUUAGCGGCGGACGGGUGAGUAACACGUGGAUAACCUACCUAUAAGACUGGGAUAACUUCGGGAAACCGGAGCUAAUACCGGAUAAUAUUUUGAACCGCAUGGUUCAAAAGUGAAAGACGGUCUUGCUGUCACUUAUAGAUGGAUCCGCGCUGCAUUAGCUAGUUGGUAAGGUAACGGCUUACCAAGGCAACGAUGCAUAGCCGACCUGAGAGGGUGAUCGGCCACACUGGAACUGAGACACGGUCCAGACUCCUACGGGAGGCAGCAGUAGGGAAUCUUCCGCAAUGGGCGAAAGCCUGACGGAGCAACGCCGCGUGAGUGAUGAAGGUCUUCGGAUCGUAAAACUCUGUUAUUAGGGAAGAACAUAUGAGUAAGUAACUGUGCACAUCUUGACGGUACCUAAGCAGAAAGCCACGGCUAACUACGU
rnacentral:rRNA from 1 species